rnacentral:rRNA from 1 species
CCUACGGGAGGCUGCAGUGGGGAAUAUUGGACAAUGGGCGAAAGCCUGAUCCAGCCAUGCCGCGUGUGUGAAGAAGGCCUUCGGGUUGUAAAGCACUUUCAGUGGGGAAGAAAGCCUUGGGGCUAAUACCCUCGAGGAAGGACAUCACCCACAGAAGAAGCACCGGCUAACUCCGUGCCAGCAGCCGCGGUAAUACGGAGGGUGCGAGCGUUAAUCGGAAUUACUGGGCGUAAAGCGCGCGUAGGCGGUCUGAUAAGCCGGUUGUGAAAGCCCCGGGCUCAACCUGGGAACGGCAUCCGGAACUGUCAGGCUAGAGUGCAGGAGAGGAAGGUAGAAUUCCCGGUGUAGCGGUGAAAUGCGUAGAGAUCGGGAGGAAUACCAGUGGCGAAGGCGGCCUUCUGGACUGACACUGACGCUGAGGUGCGAAAGCGUGGGUAGCAAACAGGAUUAGAUACCCCAGUAUC